UCAAAAGUUACUAUAAAAUUAUCAAAACCCAAUACCGUUUCACCCUAUCUCUCUCUCUCUCUCUCUCUCUCUCUCUCUUGUCUUCAUCAUCUACGGCCAUGGUUGUCUUCAUCAUCUACGGCCAACCAUGGCCACCAUAGAUGAGCUCAGUGAAUCAAGUUCAGUGAAUCAACUAUUAUAUAUGAGCUCACACAAUGUAUGAGGAUAUUACUCUAAUUCAGUCUUCUCUCUCUUUCUUUAUUUAUUUAUGGUACCAGAGCCACAAUAAGAAGUAAAAAAAAAAGAUUCAAAUGCUUUGUCUAUUUCACCAGGCUGGCUACACCAGAUGAGAAGUCCAGAAGUUGGGAAUAUGGCUCUACUGACUUGCCGAUUGCAACUCUUUUCCCUUUCAUGUAUUUCAUGGUAAGGGAUUUUUCAGCAACAAGCAGCUAGAUCAGACAGCAAACAACAUCAAAGAUAUACUAACCACCUAGAAACUACUCCACGAGCAAAAACUAAAGAUGAUAAAAUAAUGGACAUGAAGACUUGAAGAUGGAGAGCUAAUGAUAAAAUAAUUCAAUUACAUGAAAAUGUCUCCCAUCCAAUUUUUCAUACUUCUAAUUAUUGAACAAUACUUGUUUUUUUUUUAAAAAAAAUUAAGUAAAAGUUGCAUAAAGAGACAUCUUAUGCAUAUAUAACCAUUAGAAUUGCCUUGUUUUGUCAAGGAAAACAAUAUUUGUGAUGUCAAAUGCUAACAGGAUUAUAUCAUUUCUUAAUUUAGACGAUCAAAUACAUGGCCUUAGUCAUCAUGUUAUUAAUAUA